AGAGUUUGAUCAUGGCUCAGAACGUACGCUGGCGGCACGCCUAACACAUGCAAGUCGAGCGAGGUAGCAAUACCUAGCGGCAGACGGGUGCGUAACAUGUGGGAAUCUGCCUUUUGGUUCGGAAUAACACGGGGAAACCUGUGCUAAUACCGGAUAAGUCCUUACGGAGAAAGUUUUAAUGCCAAAAGAUGAGCCCGCAUUUGAUUAGUUUGUUGGUGAGGUAAUGGCUCACCAAGACUACAAUCAAUAGCUGAUUUGAGAGGAUGAUCAGCCACACUGGGACUGAGAUACGGCCCAGACUCCUACGGGAGGCAGCAGUGGGGAAUCUUGCACAAUGGGCGAAAGCCUGAUGCAGCGAUGCCGCGUGAGUGAAGAAGGCCCUUGGGUUGUAAAGCUCUUUUGUCGGGAAAGAUAAUGACUGUACCCGAAUAAGAAGGUCCGGCUAACUUCGUGCCAGCAGCCGCGGUAAUACGAAGGGACCUAGCGUAGUUCGGAAUUACUGGGCUUAAAGAGUUCGUAGGUGGUUGAAAAAGUUGGUGGUGAAAUCCCAGAGCUUAACUCUGGAACUGCCAUCAAAACUUUUCAGCUAGAGUAUGAUAGAGGAAAGCAGAAUUUCUAGUGUAGAGGUGAAAUUCGUAGAUAUUAGAAAGAAUACCAAUUGCGAAGGCAGCUUUCUGGAUCAUUACUGACACUGAGGAACGAAAGCAUGGGUAGCGAAGAGGAUUAGAUACCCUCGUAGUCCAUGCCGUAAACGAUGUGUGUUAGACGUUGGAAAUUUAUUUUCAGUGUCGCAGGGAAACCGAUAAACACACCGCCUGGGGAGUACGACCGCAAGGUUAAAACUCAAAUGAAUUGACGGGGACCCGCACAAGUAGUGGAGCAUGUGGUUUAAUUCGAAGAUACGCGCAGAACCUUACCAACACUUGACAUGUUCGUCGCGACUCUAAGAGAUUAGAGUUUUCGGUUCGGCCGGACGAAACACAGGUGCUGCAUGGCUGUCGUCAGCUCGUGUCGUGAGAUGUUGGGUUAAGUCCCGCAACGAGCGCAACCCUCACUUUUAGUUGCCAUCAUUAAGUUGGGCACUCUGAAAGAACUGCCAGUGAUAAGCUGGAGGAAGGUGGGGAUGACGUCAAGUCCUCAUGGCCCUUACGUGUUGGGCUACACACGUGCUACAAUGGUAUCUACAACAGGAAGCAAGACUGCGAAGUUAAGCAAAUCCCUAAAAGAUACCUCAGUUCGGAUUGCACUCUGCAACUCGAGUGCAUGAAGCUGGAAUUACUAGUAAUCGUGGAUCAGCGUGCCACGGUGAAUGCGUUCCCGGGUCUUGUACACACCGCCCGUCACACCAUGGGAGUUGGUUCUACCUUAAGGCAAGGUUUCAAACCCUUGACCACGGUAUAGUCAGCGACUGGGGUGAAGUCGUAACAAGGUAGCCGUA
rnacentral:rRNA from 1 species